rnacentral:rRNA from 1 species
AGUCAGAGCCAGCAGCAGGGCCCACCUGAUCUCGUCUGAUCUCGGAAGCUAAGUAUGGUCAACUCAGUAGUACUUGGAUGGGAGACCACCUGGGAAUCCUGGGGGCUGCUAUUU